CCUAAGGCGAGGCCGAAAGGCGUAGUCGAUGGGAAACAGGUUAAUAUUCCUGUACUUGGUGUUACUGCGAAGGGGGGACGGAGAAGGCUAUGUUGGCCGGGCGACGGUUGUCCCGGUUUAAGCGUGUAGGCUGGUUUUCCAGGCAAAUCCGGAAAAUCAAGGCUGAGGCGUGAUGACGAGGCACUACGGUGCUGAAGCAACAAAUGCCCUGCUUCCAGGAAAAGCCUCUAAGCAUCAGGUAACAUCAAAUCGUACCCCAAACCGACACAGGUGGUCAGGUAGAGAAUACCAAGGCGCUUGAGAGAACUCGGGUGAAGGAACUAGGCAAAAUGGUGCCGUAACUUCGGGAGAGGGCACGCUGAUAUGUAGGUGAGGUCCCUCGCGGAUGGAGCUGAAAUCAGUCGAAGAUACCAGCUGGCUGCAACUGUUUAUUAAAAACACAGCACUGUGCAAACACGAAAGUGGACGUAUACGGUGUGACGCCUCCCCGGUGCCGGAAGGUUAAUUGAUGGGGUUAGCGCAAGCGAAGCUCUUGAUCGAAGCCCCGGUAAACGGCGGCCGUAACAAUAACGGUCCUAAGGUAGCGAAAUUCCUUGUCGGGUAAGUUCCGACCUGCACGAAUGGCGUAAUGAUGGCCAGGCUGUCUCCACCCGAGACUCAGUGAAAUUGAACUCGCUGUGAAGAUGCAGUGUACCCGCGGCAAGACGGAAAGACCCCGUGAACCUUUACUAUAGCUUGACACUGAAUAUUGAGCCUUGAUGUGUAGGAUAGGUGGGAGGCUUUGAAGUGUGGACGCCAGUCUGCAUGGAGCCGACCUUGAAAUACCACCCUUUAAUGUUUGAUGUUCUAACGUUGACCCGUAAUCCGGGUUGCGGACAGUGUCUGGUGGGUAGUUUGACUGGGGCGGUCUCCUCCUAAAGAGUAACGGAGGAGCACGAAGGUUGGCUAAUCCUGGUCGGACAUCAGGAGGUUAGUGCAAUGGCAUAAGCCAGCUUGACUGCGAGCGUGACGGCGCGAGCAGGUGCGAAAGCAGGUCAUAGUGAUCCGGUGGUUCUGAAUGGAAGGGCCAUCGCUCAACGGAUAAAAGGUACUCCGGGGAUAACAGGCUGAUACCGCCCAAGAGUUCAUAUCGACGGCGGUGUUUGGCACCUCGAUGUCGGCUCAUCACAUCCUGGGGCUGAAGUAGGUCCCAAGGGUAUGGCUGUUCGCCAUUUAAAGUGGUACGCGAGCUGGGUUUAGAACGUCGUGAGACAGUUCGGUCCCUAUCUGCCGUGGGCGCUGGAGAACUGAGGGGGGCUGCUCCUAGUACGAGAGGACCGGAGUGGACGCAUCACUGGUGUUCGGGUUGUCAUGCCAAUGGCACUGCCCGGUAGCUAAAUGCGGAAGAGAUAAGUGCUGAAAGCAUCUAAGCACGAAACUUGCCCCGAGAUGAGUUCUCCCUGACCCUUUAAGGGUCCUGAAGGAACGUUGAAGACGACGACGUUGAUAGGCCGG
rnacentral:rRNA from 1 species